rnacentral:rRNA from 1 species
GACGAACGCUGGCGGCGUGCCUAAUACAUGCAAGUAGAACGCUGAAGGAGGAGCUUGCUUCUCUGGAUGAGUUGCGAACGGGUGAGUAACGCGUAGGUAACCUGCCUGGUAGCGGGGGAUAACUAUUGGAAACGAUAGCUAAUACCGCAUAAUAGUAGAUGUUGCAUGACAUUUGCCUAAAAGGUGCAAUUGCAUCACUACCAGAUGGACCUGCGUUGUAUUAGCUAGUUGGUGGGGUAACGGCUCACCAAGGCGACGAUACAUAGCCGACCUGAGAGGGUGAUCGGCCACACUGGGACUGAGACACGGCCCAGACUCCUACGGGAGGCAGCAGUAGGGAAUCUUCGGCAAUGGACGGAAGUCUGACCGAGCAACGCCGCGUGAGUGAAGAAGGUUUUCGGAUCGUAAAGCUCUGUUGUAAGAGAAGAACGAGUGUGAGAGUGGAAAGUUCACACUGUGACGGUAGCUUACCAGAAAGGGACGGCUAACUACGUG